rnacentral:rRNA from 1 species
AUUGAACGCUGGCGGCAGGCCUAACACAUGCAAGUCGAGCGAGCGGCGGACGGGUGAGUAAUGUAUGGGGACUGCCCGAUAGAGGGGGAUAACUACUGGAAACGGUGGCUAAUACCGCAUACUAUCGGAUAACCCAUAUGGGAUUAGCUAGUGGGUAAGGUAAUGGCUUACCUAGGCGACGAUCCCUCGCUGGUCUGAGAGGAUGAUCAGCCACACGGGGACUGAGACACGGCCCAAAUUCUUACGGAGGCAGCGGUGGGGAAUAUUGCACAAUGGGCGCAAGCCUGAUGCAGCAAUGCCGCGUGGAGGAAGAAGGCCCUAGGGUUGUAAAGUACUUUCAGUCGGGAGGCGUUACCGACAGAAGAAGCACCGGCUAACUCCGUGCCAGCAGCCGCGGUAAUUC